AGUGAACGCUGGCGGUAGGCCUAACACAUGCAAGUCGAACGGCAGCACAGUAAGAGCUUGCUCUUACGGGUGGCGAGUGGCGGACGGGUGAGGAAUACAUCGGAAUCUACUUUUUCGUGGGGGAUAACGUAGGGAAACUUACGCUAAUACCGCAUACGACCUACGGGUGAAAGCAGGGGAUCUUCGGACCUUGCGCGAUUGAAUGAGCCGAUGUCGGAUUAGCUAGUUGGCGGGGUAAAGGCCCACCAAGGCGACGAUCCGUAGCUGGUCUGAGAGGAUGGUCCGCCAACACUGAACCGAGGAACGGUUCCGACCUCCACGGGAGGCAGGAGUUGGGAAAUAUUGACAAAGGGGGGAAACCCUGUUCCAGCCAUCCGGGUGGGGGGAGAAGGCCUUUGGGUUGUAAAACCCUUUUUGUGGGGAAGAAAAAGCGGCGGGUUAAUCCCCCGCUUUUCGAAGGUACCCAAAAAAAAAAGCACCGCCAACUUCGGG
rnacentral:rRNA from 1 species